CACGUAGGUGUCGAGCGUUAUCCGGAAUUACUGGGCGUAAAGGGCACGCAGGCGGCUGGGCAAGUCCAGUGUGAAAGCUCCUGGCUUAACUGGGAGAGGUCGCUGGAAACUGUUUGGCUUGAGGACAUGAGAGGGAGACGGAAUUCCCGGUGUAGUGGUGGAAUGCGUAGAGAUCGGGAAGAACACCAGUGGCGAAGGCGGUCUCCUGGCAUGGGCCUGACGCUGAGGUGCGAAAGCGUGGGGAGCGAACGGG
rnacentral:misc_RNA from 1 species